UUUUGGAAGACUUUUUUCUGGAAGUUUAGUUUUAGUUAUUACAGAAUUAGUUCUUUAUUUUAGUGUUUCUCACUCACCCCUACUUUUCUUUUGCUUUGUGAUAUUUCUACAUUGUCAGGAUUUACCAAAAGACCAAUAGUUUUGAGACACUCUAUAAGCUUUAAACUGCACUAACACUUUUGGGAUACCAUGUAUAUGAAACUUUCAAAAAUAUAAAUUUGGAUUCUUUUUUUUAAUUGGAAAUUUUCCUUAUGAGUAUGUCUUUAUUUUCUUAUUAUUUUAAUAUAUGUUGAAGAUUUCCUGCUAUUUUUGCACAAGAGGAGCUGGACAUUACACGUAGUUAUUUGACAAUGUGUGAAGAUUGGAUUUGGCUCUCCCCUGAUUGUAACAAUGAAGGAAUACAAAAUGGGAAAGUUCUUGAAUGCAACUCAUCAGUAUCAAUGUAAUCCUACAACGAGAAAUACAUCAAACCACACAUUUCAAUCUAAUAGGUAUAUAUCUAAGGAAAAAAUCCAUUUCCCAAAAAAUUACAGUCCUCAAAAAUACUCUUCAUUAAUUUGCCAUAGGACUGUGCCUGAAAAAUAAGGUCAUCAUAUGAGAGUAACAGAAGCUUCUGAGAAAUGAGAAGACCCAUGGAGAGACUAUAGUGGUAACAUCCAUGAAACCAAGAGCCUGAGCAAGUUUAUAAGACCUUCCAGAGAAAGGAGAGAAGGCAUCUAAGUGUGGACAGUUAGCAGUCUUGCCUCUUUUUAAGCUAGGUUGCUCACAUUGAAGGAUUGGGGAAGGGAGAAGUAACAAGACUAGAGGAGAAAAGGGAGAAAGGAGAAGGGAGUGGUGAGAGAGAAAGGGUAAGAGAGAGAGAGAGAGAAUUGGAUGCUGAUUAUAACCUUCCUGAACUUAUUUCUCCAUGGUCAACAGAUUCCCAUGCUGUUACAUAUUUCUCACCCAAGCCAAGCGAUUCUAGACCCUUGACUGAUUAUUCCUUGUUAUCUGCCCUUCACUUCCUACUCUCUUAUUCUUUUCAUCCCUCUUAACACAAUCUACUCUCUCUCUCCCUGCUUCCUGCCCCAACUGUCUGUGAGGUUACACACACUUCCUACACUGUGCACUGUGUGAAUGCUUGUUUGCUUUCAUUUUAAACCUUUUAAUUUCCUACUCUUCCUAUCUCCUGAUUCUCACUAAGAUCUGGCUUGUUGACACACACUACCUUACCCAUCUUUUUAGGCAUUGGUUUGACUUUCAGUCAUACUCCCUCGCUCAGUGAUAAAAGUGGAGGCAUGGAGGAGUUGGAAUAUUCCUUGACCUCCAUUAUCACUUCUAGGCUCUUUCUCUACUCUGAUUACUCAAUAAUCUUUUCUCUGUUGAUGUUCACUAUUUUUUUUUCUCUCCUCCAAACUCUUGCCCUCAUACUAGGAGACUUCAACAUACAUAUUGAUAUUGACUCAAAAACUCUAAUGUCCAGGUAAAUAUUUAACAAUGGGGUGGCUAUUCCAAAAAAAGGACAUGCUAUUAAGUUCAAUGAAUUAACAUUUUUUCUUUUGUUUUUGUAAAACUAGACAAUUGACAAAAGUAAUAAAUCAAGACCUGAUUUGUGGUGUUUGCCA
ensembl:lncRNA